GCAGCUAUGGCGGAACUGGCAGACGCGCUAGACUUAGGAUCUAGUGGGGCAACCCGACAGGUUCGAUUCCUGCUAGCUGCACCA
rnacentral:tRNA from 1 species